rnacentral:rRNA from 1 species
CCCUUAGAUGUUCUGGGCCGCACGCGCGCUACACUGACGAAUGCAACGAGCUUAUAACCUUGGCCGAAAGGUCUGGGUAAUCUCCAAAUUUCGUCGUGAUGGGGAUAGAUUAUUGCAAUUAUUAAUCUUCAACGAGGAAUGCCUAGUAAGCGCAAGUCAUCAGCUUGCGUUGAUUACGUCCCUGCCCUUUGUACACACCGCCCGUCGCUCCUACCGAGUGAAUGGUCCGGUGAAGCGUUCGGACCGUGGCCUUUGGACGGUUCGCCGUCUGUUGGCUGCGGGAAGUUCGUUAAACCUUAUCAUUUAGAGGAAGGAGAAGUCGUAACA